UCAUCUGAACAGCUUAAUUCUGGACCAUGUGUCAUUCAUUCACUACAACAAAAAGUCAACCUAGGCCUAUUUUAAGCUCCAAAACUCAUUUUCCAUGCAGUUUUUGAUAGAUUGAGGAACACUCUAUUCAGGUUCAUGUUGUGUGUUUACUGAAGCUGAACAGUUUGAGUAGCCUAAUGCAACUUGUGAAUUAUUUUAGGACAGGGCGAACAAAGCUCCCCCUUCAUUAACUUCCCUCCUGAAAACUCUUAUACAAUCAAUUUAUGAUGCCAAAUUGUUGUGUCCCGUUCCUUUGGUCUGGCACUCAUUUGACGCGUUUAUUCGGCGCCCGUAAUGAGGUGAUAGAGCGCGCGCUCCUACAUCUCUGGGGCACCGCGUGCACUCGCACUGUGGUACGUGACCUCACUCAGGUCACGACGGGACCCCGUUUUGGAAAGGGCAAGACUACCGCUAUUGUCAUUACCCCUUUCCUUGGGAUAAUAAUAGCCGCGCGGAAAGAAGACAUGGCCAGCGACACGUAUCCUCCUCUCCUGUCCUCGACGCGCGUCGCGAGGCCUUUUGUCGUGGUUUUGCCACGGAGUUUAUGAAUGGGCUACAGGAAGUAACACUAAGAUGGGGAAGGGCGCUUGAAUAAUGUCAACCGCGGGGCUCUCAAAUGUCUCUAGGAGAGUUUUGUGAUAUCACACAAUACAGGCAACUGUCUCACGGAGUUGCAUCAUUUUUUUUUUCCUUUUCUUCUUCAGCGCGUGGAGUUUCUCUGCGUGUCACGUGAUGGAGUUGUCCGUUCACCCGCGUGUGGAAGCUCGCCUUUCUGUUUACUGAGAUAAAGCGGCACGCGCGUCAUACCGGAACCAUGCAGACGUCCAAGUUUCUCAAGUUGGCGGUCACUAUAAUGUCUGUGACGAUCAUUUCGUGGCCUGCUUCUCAACGGUCAGACACUGAUUUGGAAGGGCUUUAUCACUGAGGACACAGAGUUAUUUUUGCUAAAAUCACUCAUCAAACCUGACAGAAUUUAAGUAACCUGCAGUACAGUACAAUGAUGUUGACACGUCAGAGUCGAGCCACUCCUGUGGGAUGCAAGUUUCAUGAUGCAGGCCGAACAUAAUCUGCAGAUAUACAGUUUGGGCUUGGAACUGGCACAUCCUGUAUAUGAAAAAACGCAGAUCCCGGUCGGAAAGCCGUGGAAAUAUGCAGAAAAGAGAAGUGGGACAAUAGGCCGGAUCUACGGCAGUUCCUAAAGCCUCGAUGUUCUGAAGCACUGCUGUUUAUUUCACACAUUAAUCUAAUGCAAAUACCCAGGCAGGAAAACAUGGACUUUUGUCAGAUAGGAAACUGGUUUUCCAUCAGUCUCAAUAAAAUAAAAUGAAAUGUUAAAUUAAAAAGAAAAGAUGGACUUUUGUAGGACAAGGGACAUUUUGUGGUUUUCAAUAAAAAAGAAAGAAAAGAGAAGAGAAGAGAAGAAAAAGAAAAGAAAAUUAAAAAGAUUUUAAUCUUCCUGGUUUGCCCCAGUUGUUUUUCUCCAGUUAUACAAUGUCAUAACUCCCAGGUCAUUCACUCUCACAAUCAGUCCAUAGAUUGACGUCUCAUUCAAUGUCAAGGCCAUGGCCACGACAGCACAACUAUUGCAAACAGCACGCAGAAGCCCCACGCCGUCUCUUAUUGUUAUUUUAUUCCCCAACAGUGCAAACACAAGUAUAAAAGAUCUCAAUAUGAAAUUUACAUUCACAUAGAACCAUCGCAAUAAAUACAUUGCAACUCCAAAAAGAGCACAAAUAUUACAAAUCAUCAAUAAAAUACUCUUUUUGUUUACUCUACAAUAUAUUUAAUACGUACAAUAAUUUUGACCCGUAUCAAAUAUGAAAAUAUCUAAUCGACAU